ensembl:lncRNA
GGUGUCACCUGCAGCAUAUGGAGGUUCCUAGGCUAGGCUUGAAUCAGAGCUCCAGUAGCAGCCUAAGCCCACAGUUCACAGCAACACUAGAUCUAAGUCACAUUUUUAACCUAUGCUGCAGCUUGCAGCAAUGCCUGAUCCUUAACCCACUGAGUGAGGCCAGGAAUUGAACCCACAUCCUCACAGAGACAAUGUGGGAUCCUUAGCCUGCUGAGCCAUAACAGGAAUUCCUAAACACUGUUUUUCAGUCUAGCCUUUCAUGCCACACCACUUACUGCCUCUCUCUCCCUCGCCAUCCCCUCUAGCCUACUUUACCUUCUUCCUGGCUCUGGGGGCCUCCACCUGACAACACUGUGUACUGCUUUUUCUCCCACUAAGAAGUGGGCUUCCUGACAGCAGGCAUUUGUCUUAUUUGUUCAUACCGGUAACCCCAUUUGUAGAAGGGUAUGUGGCACCCAAUUAACAUUUGUUGAACAAGUUAAAGGAACCACUGACUCAUGCUAUGGAUGGUCAUUUUCCCCCUCUUGUGAAAUGCGUCCAGAAAGAGAGUUCCCAGCAAGGCAGAACCUGAAGGCACUUGUAGGAUCAGGUACUCUGAGCACUCCACCUUUCAGAGAGAAACCAGGGUUCUAAGGAAGGGGAAGGACCUAGGGAAGAGGGGGAAUGCCCAACAGCCACAGCUUAGACAUGACCUUUGGGGGUCUUCUGAACUUGGGAACAGGCUGCUGGGAUGUGGUCCUGAACUCAGAUACAUUCUGGGCUGUGGAUUUGUAAGGCUGAAUUCUUGGAAGAGACUGUCCAGCUUGAUCCUACCUUCACUGAAGUUCAGGUGCACCAGAGACUCUGUCUCCAAAGGCUGGGACCAUGACUCAUUUAUAUUCUGUGGCCCCAGCCUCCAGCAAGCAGCCAUCCUCAAUGGUCAGUCAGUGCUGAAGGAAUGCAUGGAGCUAGGCAUUUCCUUUCAUUUCUGGUUCCCCAAAUUUCACCCUCUAUUUCCCAUCUCCUUCUUCAUCACUUCCACUUACCAUAUACACAAUCACUUCCAAAUUCCCCCUCUUUCCUGCUUCUCUCAGGUCUGCUAAUGAUUCACAUUUCAUACCCAUUUCCUUUAUAAAACCCAUGCCCCUAUUAAGAGAGAAUUUCUUACUUCUCUCUUUUCCAUACAUUCAGUUUUUGGAGGGCAGGAACCCUGUCAUUCCUCACUUGACUCUCAAUGCCUCCCACAUUACUUGGAAGCAAAUAAUGGUAAUUAUAAUGACGAUGGUAAUAAUAUAAUAAUAGCAGCUAUCUUUUAUUGAGCACUUACUCAAUGUUAGAUACUGUGUGAAGCAUUUUCCAUGAUUCAUUUUAUUUACAGCCAUGAGUUGGUGAGUUACAAUUCCCAUUUUACAGAUGGUAAAAUGUUAAUUAAUAAGUAGGUUUCAGAACUUAAAAGUCAUAAUAGUCACUGAACUAAACUUUAACUGAACUGAAUUGGAGGGGAGGGAGAUGGAAGGAUCAGAAUGAACUCUUACUUCUGUUCUCUCUGUAUGUGUGUCUGUGUGUGUUUCUCUUUCUCUUGAGCAUUAAGAAAAAAAUCCUAUUUCCUUGAGCCUACAGGCAGGCAUGCAUGUGAAAAUGAGCCAUGCCCAAACAAGGUACCACACCGACUCCGGCCUUUGGGAGCUGAGGAAGUGAGGAUUUCCUGAGAAGCUCCCACUUCCCUUCUUGGGGAAAUUCACCACUCCUCAGCCUCCCCUCCUCCCUGGGAAGCAGGUGGUGCAUGGGUCCCAUCCCCCACAGUAAUUACAGAAACCCACUUGAAUUGCAAAUUAAUAUGCAAUUACAAUUUUGGCAAGUGCUCUAAGGUAACCCAAAAGGGCUUAAUUGAGUGGCACUUUCCCAGGUGCCCAUCCCCAGACAAAUGGGAGAAAACACUUCCAAAGUGCUCUGGCCUCAGACAGCACAGGGGAGGGCGCUGUGACCUCAAGGGGUGAAGCAUGCUACAUCUGAGGUUUGGUGAUGGGAACUCAACCUGACAAGUGUUUGCUAAGCUUCGGGGGACAGUUACACCAUUAGGGAACUCACAAGUAGAGGAGGAGGUAGAACAAAACAAAAGAACACCAAACUGCACUACAAUUAAAAUAAAAUGUCUUAAGUCUUCCCAAGCAGGAUUCUUUGGAAACAAGCUGAAGGCUGGGGGUUUAGGUUAUGUGGGAGAAGGUGGAGAAAGCUGAGCCCAGCAUUAGGGCCCUACAGUGUUAGCUUGAGCCACUCAGCCUAAAGGUCAGCGUCAAGACCCAGGGUUGAGAAGAUAGGGAGGCAGCAUCAGGCUGCACCCAAAUAAUCAAUAUUAUCAUGAAUCUGUUUCCCACUAUAGACAUCAAUAACAUCCAGGCACAUUUAGGAUAUAAAUGAAAAAAGAAAGAAAGAGUAUUUAUAUUAUCUUAUAACCUUGGGAGUUAGGGGAACCUUCCCCAGCAAGACAGGAAAUUUAGAAGCUUAAAAGAAAAAGACAAGUAUAUUUGGAUACAUAAGCAAUGAAAAUUUGUGCAUGUCAACGCUGUAAACAAAGGUCAGAUCCUGCACCAUCCCUUCCCCCCCCCCGAAACACCCAAAUCAAUAGUCUGGAAAAAUAUUUGCAAUGCAUAUGAAAUAAGGUUAUGGGGACUUAGGUUAAUGUGCCUAUAGACAAAGUGCCUUCACAAAGUGAUAGAAGAAAGUCAGGCAACAUAUUUAUCAAAAAUGGACACAAGCGAUAACACAAGCAAUGAAUGGAAGAGAACGUCUAAAUGGCCAAUAAGCACAUGAAGAUGCUCAACCAGACUAGCAGCCAGAGAGAUGGAAAUUAAAGCCACAACGAGAGGCCACUUUCCACCAUCGAGACCGGCCAACACCAGAGAUGGCAAAAGUACCUGUUUACACAGAGGAUGCAGGGCAGUGGGAAGCCUCAUUCAUGGCUGGUUGGGAGUAUGAUAUAGCAAUGGUUUUGGAAAAUCACAUAACAUUUUUUUUAAAGUUAAUAUCACACAUACCAUUUGACCCCAGAUUUAGAAAUCCAUCCUGGAUUUAAAACACUGGUACAUAAGGAUUUAUUUGUAGCAGAUCUUUUUUUCUGGCAAACAAAUGAAACAUCAACCAAAGAAACCCGGGAGCAAUCUGAGUGCCCCUUAACGUGGGAAUAGAGAAUAAAUAGUAGUACAUUUAUACUACAGAAUAUUGUGCAGUUACGAUGUACUAUGACUCCUUUUUGUAUCUUUUGAUGAAAUUUGAUCUGGGGUGCUCUCACUAGGUACUGCGAAAUGAGAAAAUCAAGCGCAAGGUAUACAUUAUAAUUUUGAAGGUUAUCACCAACAACACUAUUUGUGUACAUACGUAUAUUUUUGUGGGCAUGAAGAAAAGUGUGUAAAAGGGAGUGGAGUGGGGGAGGAAUAUGAGAUUUUUACUUAUUCAUCUUUAGUUGGAAUGUACAUCAAUUGUUUUUAUAAUUAAAAAGAAACCUGAAGUAAUGGGAACGCAAAAAGAUAACCACUGAGAUGGAAUGAAUAAAAUAUCAGACAGACCCAGGGAAUGGGCAGCCCCUGCAGGAAGAGGUCUGUGGACUGCAAGUUGGGGUUCCUGCUCUGGGUAGAGGAUUCAGUUGAAGAUAUCUGAAAGUCCCUCCAGCUGGAAGAAACUUUUGUCAGGUUAGAGGCCAACCAGGACAGUACAGGGUCACAACAGAGUUAUAAUGGGGAGACCUCUGAAGCAGAAGUGGCUCAGGAAGAGGCCAGUGCAUGGUGGGGAAAUGAGCAUGGCCAGGCUACCAGCUUUGCUGAGCAAGAGGAGGCUGGUGGCCCAUAAGGGAGCAGCUUCAGAAGGUCUGUAAGAGCCCUUGGAUUGCAGGAUUGUAGGAGAGAGGGGUGUCAUCUACCAUGUCAGCAAGCUCUGGGCUGAAAGUAGGGUGAGAGGUGGUACCCAGGCAGAGGGAUGGUUUUGGCUUGGACACACCUGAGCAUGUUCACGGGCAGUACUGAUGUGAACAGAUAGAUAAUCUACACAGUGAGGUCUGCUGAGGGUCUGGGGGUGGCCAGUGAGAGACCU